GCCACGUGAGGACACAGUGAGAAGGCGGCCGUCUGCAAGCAAAGGAGAGAGGCCUCAGGAGGAACCAACCCUGCUGACACCUGGAUCUCAGACUUCCAGCCCAGAACUGACUCUCCCAGACAGAGUCAACCCAUCUCUCUGCUAAGACAGGAAGAGACCCAGCGGAGCUGAGUAAAAAUCUUUCCUUGGUGAACCAUCACUGUUCUUGGAAGCUAAAGGGCAACACAACAGACUGUAUUUUUCUUUCUUUGAAAGAAUGUGAACAAGCCGAGGCAGCAUAUGGAUCGUGUCCUGUGUGGAGGAGAUUCAGGCCGGGGUCCUGGGGCUGCCCCACGUGGCCAGGAGCUGAGAGUCGUCAUUCCUCUCCCUGACGACCGUGUGGACCCGAACGUUCGCUUGAACAUCCUUUCCUCAGGAAGGCCCAGCAGACCCCCUCCCUGGAAGGGCCCCUGACCUCUUGACCUGCUCCAUCCUCCAGCGCUCCUUCCCUCGACGAUCGGUUCCUUUAAAUUCCUGCCCCAUCGCGGCUCUGCCCCCUGAGGGCAGGAACGGUCCACCUGGUCCCUGGCACAGGGGCUUUUAUCGACAGCUGGGAGUUCGCGCUUCCCCCUUAAGCUGGUACCUACACUUUCCACCUUCUACCGCUUUUUGUCUGAGGAAAGGUGCUUUCCCAUCCAUAGGCGUAUUGCUGGUAACCAGGCCACGAAAUUUCCUGCCACGAAAUGUGGUGGAGGGCCCACACUUACUGAGCGGUCCAAGUGGCCGCAGUCGCUCUGGCUGUGACACAUCCAGGCCGGCCCUCUGCAGAUGACCCGGGUGGGGAGGGUCAAAAGCAAGGAUGCAGCGUGGCUGCCUGCCCCCCCCGCCAACCGCCUUACACACGAAACAGCACUUUUCAGGGAAAGUAGGAAGGAGAUGCUUUAGCUGAUACUGCUGAGGCCACAUCUUGGGGACCCUUUUGU